rnacentral:rRNA from 1 species
UACGUAGGGUGCGAGCGUUAAUCGGAAUUACUGGGCGUAAAGCGUGCGCAGGCGGUUUUGUAAGCCAGAUGUGAAAUCCCCGGGCUUAACCUGGGAAUGGCAUUUGGGACUGCAAGGCUGGAGUGUGGCAGAGGAGACUGGAAUUCCUGGUGUAGCAGUGAAAUGCGUAGAUAUCAAGAGGAACACCUGCGGCGAAGGCGGGUUGCUGGGCCGACACUGACGCUGAUGCGCGAAAGCCAGGGGAGCGAACGGG